rnacentral:rRNA from 1 species
UGGGCACGACGUCGCAUGCUCCCGGCCGCCAUGGCGGCCGCGGGAAUUCGAUUAGAGUUUGAUCAUGGCUCAGAUUGAACGCUGGCGGCAUGCCUAACACAUGCAAGUCGAACGGCAGCACAGUAAAGAUUUCGGUCUUUAUGGGGUGGCGAGUGGCGGACGGGUGAGUAACACGUAGGAAUCUGUCCUGGAGCGUGGGAUAACCCGAGGAAACUCGGGCUAAUACCACAUGAUAUCGAGAGAUCAAAAGCAGGGGACCGAAAGGCCUUGCGCUCUGGGGUGAGCCUACGUCGGAUUAGCUAGUUGGUGGGGUAAAAGCCUACCAAGGCGACGAUCCGUAGCUGGUCUGAGAGGAUGACCAGCCACACUGGGACUGAGACACGGCCCAGACUCCUACGGGAGGCAGCAGUGGGGAAUCUUGGACAAUGGGGGAAACCCUGAUCCAGCGAUGCCGCGUGUGUGAAGAAGGCCUUCGGGUUGUAAAGCACUUUAGGUGGGGAAGAAAGGUAACGAGCGAAUAACUCGUUGCUAUGACGGUACCCGCAGAAUAAGCACCGGCUAACUCUGUGCCAGCAGCCGCGGUAAUACGAAUCACUAGUGAAUUCGCGGCCGCCUGCAGGUCGACCAUAUGGGAGAGCUCCC